CGCGUAUACAAUCUACCUCUUACAGGGGGAUAGCCUUUAGAAAUGAAGAUUAAUACCCCAUGGCAUUAUAAACCGGCAUCGGUUUAUAAUUAAAGUUUCGGCGGUAGGAGAUGAGUAUGCGUUCUAUUAGCUAGUAGGUGUGGUAACGGCACACCUAGGCAACGAUAGAUAGGGGCCCUGAGAGGGGGAUCCCCCACACUGGUACUGAGACACGGACCAGACUCCUACGGGAGGCAGCAGUGAGGAAUAUUGGACAAUGGGCGGAAGCCUGAUCCAGCCAUGCCGCGUGCAGGAAGACUG
rnacentral:rRNA from 1 species